AUUUUUUUGUAAUUUAUGUAAUUGGUUGACAACUUUAAUGCUCAAAUUUAUAUAGUCAAGCAGUGUAUAGUCUUCAUUCAUUUUUUUUCUUCAUGUCCAGUUGAAGGGGACCCUGAAUCAGAAAACAUACCUCCUUGUCCAACACCAUCACAAAAUAAAACUGCUAGAGACCAUAUAAGGACCAUUUUAGCUGACACUCCAUCCCACCUAAACAUCACUGCUUCAGCGGAUCAUGGAAGUCCAGUCUCUGCUCCAACAAUCAGCCAGACAAGUGUGACAGGAAACCUAACUAUAAAUCAGACCUGGUCCCUGGAAAAUGUAAAAGCUCAAAUCGUCGUCGACACCUGUCCUUCAGAAAUCAUCUGGAACAACCUACAUUAACUCUUGCAGAGGUGAAAAAGAACACAAAUCAUUUAAGAGAGGUCAGUAAAUAGUUUACUAUAUUUUGAUUGAAAUACAGCACUUGUGUUUUACACUAGUAACAAAAUGUUUUGAAAAUGAAAAACAACCAUAUUAUGCAUUAUAAAAGGUUCACAUUUUGGUUUUGGGAGUUCCCAACAGUACAUGUAUGGAACACACAUCACAGCUUAUCAAGUGCAAGAAGAUAUGUGGAGUAUAUGUGAGUGUGAGCCCAAUGUAGAAAUGUAUCUGCUUGUUAAAUGUGACAUCACGCAUAGCGGCUUUGGGGUCCAAGAACUCUAUCAAACUGUAUGGGGAGACACAACAAAUGCUCGUGAUCAAC
rnacentral:lncRNA from 1 species